rnacentral:rRNA from 1 species
AUUGAACGCUGGCGGUAGGCCUAACACAUGCAAGUCGAACGAGUGGCGGACGGGUGAGUAAUGUCUGGGAAACUGCCUGAUGGAGGGGGAUAACUACUGGAAACAGUAGCUAAUACCGCAUACCAUCGGAUGUGCCCACAUGUGAUUAGCUUGUUGGUAGGGUAACGGCUCACCAAGGCGACGAUCCCUAGCUGGUGUGAGAGGAUGACCAGCCACAUUGGAACUGAGACACGGGCCAGACUCCUACGGGAGGCAGCAGUGGGGAAUAUUGCACAAUGGGCGCAAGCCUGAUGCAGCCAUGCCGCGUGUAUGAAGAAGGCCUUCGGUUUGUAAAGUACUUUCAGCGGGGAAGCGUUACCCGCAGAAGAAGCACCGGCUAACUCCGUGCCAGCAGCCGCGGUAAUUC